rnacentral:rRNA from 1 species
UACGGAGGGAGCUAGCGUUGUUCGGAAUUACUGGGCGUAAAGCGUGCGUAGGCGGUUAUUCAAGUCAGAGGUGAAAGCCCGGGGCUCAACCCCGGAACGGCCUUUGAAACUAGGUAACUAGAAUCUUGGAGAGGUUAGUGGAAUUCCGAGUGUAGAGGUGAAAUUCGUAGAUAUUCGGAAGAACACCAGUGGCGAAGGCGACUAACUGGACAAGUAUUGACGCUGAGGUACGAAAGCGUGGGG